rnacentral:lncRNA from 1 species
UGGAAGGUUAUAAAGUAAAUAUUGGGAGUUAAUUUUCUGUCUCCCACUGAAUCACAAACAGGAGGACUUGGGGCCCAAAGGUGAGGUCCAGGCAACUGUAAUGAAAGAAAAAUGGAGUCACCUGCCUGAGCCUGAGUGACCGGGGCUCCCCCAGGUCAGCUGGUCCUGUGGCUGGAUCGGAGCCUGAAUUCAUCCUCCGACUGGGAUGCUUGGGAGACUGGAAGAUGGCACUGGGAGUAAUGACACCCACCCCGGCCCCUGGACAGCCUGGCUCCCCUACUUCAGGUCUCAGCUCAGACGUCCUCAUCUGCGCGCUCCUCCUGACUGCGUCUCACGUGUCACUGUCCCACUCCCUCCCAUCAUGCGCUGCCCCUUCACCUGUCCUGUGUCCCUGACCUCAUCGCCACCCACAUGCCCCACAGCUGGUCAGUCCUUUAUGUGUCUGUCAUCUCUCCCCAUUACCAUGUGGGCUCCCCGAGGGGAGGGAUGGGGCCUCUUCUGUCCACUGUGGUGUCCCAGGGCCUCAGCCAGUGCCUGGGCCACGGUAGCUACUCAGCCAAUGAUGGGUGGGUGGAGGGAUAGACAGGUGGGUGGGUGAAUGAAUUAAUAAAAAGUCCCAGA